AUGUCAGCAGCAGCUUGGUCCAGGAGCAGUGGAGUGGCGGUUGUCAGAGCCACCACAGGCCUGUUCUCCAUCUUCACUCUGCUGUGUCUGGUUUGCCUCUCAAGUUCGCUGACUUGCAAAGACAAGCUGAAAGAGGUCAAGGAAAGAAAUCAGAAAGCACAAAAACAACUGGACGAUGCGAAGAAGCUCUCCUUCCAUUCAACGAGCAGAACAGCGAUGGCAGCAGCAGCUUGGUCCAGGAGCAGAGGAGUGGCUGGUGUCAGAGCCACCACAGGCCUGUUCUCCAUCUUCACUCUGCUGUGUCUGGUUUGCCUCUCAAGUUCACUGACUCACAAAGACCGGCUGGCAGAGUUAAAGGAAAAACGUCAGAAAGCACAAAAACAACUGGACGAGGUGAAGGCAAUAUAUGAGUCAAAAAUGGACACCGCUAAACAUUUCGCGGGGCUAUCUCUGAAUCUUAUGGAGUCCCUGGAGGCAUUCGCGAAGGCAAAUGAAGAAGCAUUUCCUGAUGACUCCCUACGUCUGCAGGAGUUUGUGCAGGGCGUCGAGGACUUGGUAGAGAGAAAUAAGAAUAAAGUAGAAAUAAACGAUGAGGAGAUGCGAGCACAAAUAGUGAAGAAUGAAAAGGAACUGGAAAGUUUUAGGAAAUUAAUCACAGUCCUUGAGGAGCAACACGCUGAACUGUAAAUCCCAUGUCAGUCAGAGCUCCUGUUAGGAUUCAUUAGUCUACCUGUCUGAUUAAUUGCCAGACUGCUGUGACAAAUUAUUAUGCAGCAUUAUUUACCUGCCUGAUUUAAAUCUAAAACACUGCGAUUUAACUAUGCACUAACAAGCUGUAUUAUUAAAAGAGUUGUACAUAUCCUGUUGAUAAAUGUGAUAGGUUGCAAGCAUUAAUCCUUUUUAUGAGGGGUUAAUACAUUGGAGAGAAAAGCCAGGGUAUGAGAAAGAACACAGCUGUUUUACUGAGGAGAGGCCAAGGUUAUAGACAAGUUUGUUUGGUCGUCCUUUUGGUGAGAAGAAGGAAGUCAGCAGAGAAAUUCACACAAGAAACCCAAACAAGUGCAGGAUGAGAAAAGUUAGAGGACAGGAGAGGGAGGUUUCCUCUCAACAGGGCAUUGUCUUCAUGGACUGAAGGAAUCGUGUUGCCAAGGGGACGGGACCAGCCCGUGCACCACCGAUGGGAGAGCUAAGUCUAAACCACGGCUCCACCCCACCUGUUUAACCAGUGAAAUGUUAUUCACCUUAUCUAUCUGCUUAACAAAUGAGAAAUUAUACAUUUUUUCUGCAACUGAAAUUAUAAGAAACAAUGAAAAGAGAUAUUGUGCAUCUUUCUCUGGGCGAUUGGUUGCAGAGUAACAGCAUGUUCCGCUGCCUGCUAUUUGACAAAAAGAGAAGGUCCUUGAUCGAUCAAGCUUUGCGUAAUGAUACAAUUCUAAAUAAAUGGUAAAUCUGUACGUCGUGGUUUGUCUUCUCUCUCAAAUUAAGUAAUACGCCUGACAUUUCCACCUCUGAUAAUGCAUCUUUAUUAUCUGUGAAGUUUCUCUUUUUCAUCCUUCGGCUUCAUUUGAGUGUUUUUUCUAUGAAGGGGCUUUGAACUCAUGUUUGACAUAAAGUAAGAAGUUAGAGAGAGACGCACUAAUGACAGGGAUGUAAGAGGUGUUGUACUACCUUUAUUGAACACAUUUACAAUUGUACUGAUGUGCAACCAUCAAAGCUGUGGUAUUGGCAACAAUGCUAAUGCAGGAAUAAAUAAUAUAAACACAUUUUACUCCUUUCAUUUCUAGUUCAAUAUAUUAAGAUGGAUUACUAAAGAGAAUAAUGUUUUUGUUUUCUUCUGCUGUUUAUUUAAUGGUUUUCUUGGAAUAACAGAAUUCACAAUACAAACUAUAAUCUUCUACAUUUCUACCUAUAUUACUUUAUUAAAAUCAGAGCUAUUGAAAACAUAUGCUGUAAAAUUAUGCUGCAUGAAAUUCAGCAUGUGUGGAAAACCCAAAUAAAUGUCCUGCAUGGGAACUGUUGCUG
rnacentral:lncRNA from 1 species